ACCUAAGCAGGAUAAGUUUGGUGAGGAGAGAACUUGACAUGAGUCUUACCAAUCUGCUAACCAAAAGAGAAGUAUGUUCUUAUGGUGUUAGUAUGCAUUUCUUUGAUUAUCAUUGUAGCGGACUAUUUCUGCUUAUACUUGUUGGGCACUGGUAUUUUCUUUUCCUUUUAGGUUUCACGUUUUUUCUUGAUAGGUAAGAUUUCUAUAAUAUAUGUGUUACAUAUGGAUAUCUCAAUAUGUCAUCAUUAACCCUCUGUCAUAUACAUGUCCAGGUUAUUUCUGAUCAAAUCUGUCAAUCUAUUCCUUUCUGUCAGGUUGAGCCACAUAGAGUUACUGUUUCUGUCCAUCAAACAUGACAAAAAACCCCAGCAAGGACAUACGGUUCAACCUAAAUAGUUUGUAAGCCUUUGAUGUCAUAUCUAGAGAGUUUGUAUUAAUCUUAUAUUAUAUGAUGUUGCAUAUGUACUUUUCUUUGUGCCUAAUAACCUAUACUGUUUAAGAAUUGUGUUUCUUUGAAAAUUAACACUUUAUUCCUCCUUUUAGUAUUAGACUCCCUUCUAACAUGGUUCAGUUUUAUCUGAUUUGGUAUCUUUUGCAUUUGUUCUGAUACUGGUACUGUGGUGCUCUUACCUUUCCCUAACUCCUUUGAGAUUCCAUUCAAGAAUUGCUCCCUUUGGGAAGCCUCUUUGACCUCUUUGGCAUGGCCAAGUGCUAAUGUUCUGUGCUUCUUUGGGGGACCACUCUUCCAUGGAAUUUAUCACCUCUACAAAGGUUGUUGAUUUCUCCUCUUCUAAUCUGGGAUCAUGGCUUAUUUACUUUCAAGUGCUAGGAUUUAGGACAGUGGUUGCCUCAUAGUAGAUCCGCAGUUAUUGUUCCUUUUACUGAAAUUGUACUAAUUGAUCAGGAUUUUCCCAUGGACCAAGGAAUAAAGCAGUUAUUUCUACUGCUUAAUGCUUAAUGCUAGGUGAUACACAUCCGAGCAGCUGCCCCAGCCCCAGCACUGGUAGAAAUAACAGGACCACUAGAACAAAAUGUGCUGCGUUUUGCAUUGCUGUCCCACUCUCUUUAUAAUUAGUCGCCUUUCCUUUGUAUUUCAUUUUUCUUUUUAUGUUUUUAAAAAAUAACCUCCUGCUUUACAGUUCUACUCUCUGACUUUGUCUCUGCAUCCUCUUUUCCUGAAACCCAUGUGUGGAGUGCGAUGCUUAACUAUUUCAUGUGUAUGUGGAUUACACAUUGCUGAAGCAUUUUUCCUGUUAGUGUUUUCUCCUUCAUGUUACUUUAAUACAGAUUAGAUAUUUGUUAAAAUAUUGCCAUGAGAAGAGUCAAAUUAUUAUAUUCAUAUUGGACCGCAGACAUUUUCUAUUUGGGGAGGUGCUCUGCAUUUUACAUGAUCAGGAGAAUAUUUUGCAGACUAAUGAGCCUCUUUUGUGGACUUCACUUUUUGCCACCUUGUAAUAUUCUUUGUUGUCCACAUCUUUUUUUUAAAUCAGUUAAAAAAAAUUAGACUCCUUUGAUUUGUCACAUUGAUUUUCCCAAAACUUUCAACUGAUACCUGUUGCCUUUUACCUCAGUAUGACUCAUC
rnacentral:lncRNA from 1 species